rnacentral:lncRNA from 1 species
UUAUAUCCAUAAUUGUUGAAUUAUAUGAAUUUGAUAUUGCCAGGAAUUGCAUCAAAUAUAUGUCCAUGCAUUAAAUUAUUGAAUUGAAUAUGCAUGCAAUUGAUCCGUGAUGCACCAAAGCCCAACCCAUGCUUCGUCUGAGAAGACGCUAUUUUGGCAUCGAACCCAUGACCUAGGGCUGCUUGCAGUAGACCAUGGCCUCAC